rnacentral:rRNA from 1 species
UAAUACAUGCAAGUCGAACGCUGAAGCACUCUGCUGCAGAGUGCGGAUGAGUGGCGAACGGGUGAGGUAACAACGUGGGAAAUCUGCCGUAAGAGUGGGGGAUAACAUUCGGAAACGGAUAGCUAAUACCGCAUAUAUUCUCGAACCGCAUGGUUCUGGAAAGAAAGACGGCUUUUGCUGUCGCUUUUAGAUGAUCCCGCGGCGUAUUAGUUAGUUGGUGGGGUAAUGGCCUACCAAGACCAUGAUACGUAGCCGACCUGAGAGGGUGAUCGGCCACACUGGGACUGAGACACGGCCCAGACUCCUACGGGAGGCAGCAGUAGGGAAUCUUCCACAAUGGGUGCAAACCUGGAUGGAGCAAUGCCGCCGUGAAUGAAGAAGGUCUUCGGAUCGUAAAGUUCUGUUAUUAGAGAAGAACAAGUCGAGGAGUAACUGUCUCGACUUUGACGGUACCUAACCAGAAAGUCACGGCUAACUACGUGCCAGCCGCCGC